rnacentral:ncRNA from 1 species
AUAAAUGUGAUGAAGGAGAACUUGCUUUCUAUGUCGAUUAAGAGAACUGAUGGUUGGUGCGAAUCAGUACGAUGGGAAUACAAACAUCACUCCUGAACAGCAAAGCUGAACUACAAAGUAAGCUUUGCCGGUCUCGGCUCCGCAGGGAGUGCAGUCGUUAUUCUGCUAGGGUUGUUUGACCUGAAGAGAUGCAGAUAUUUUUAUCUGUAAAAAAGGGUGGUACCGCGAGAAUUGCCUCUUGCCCUUUAA